AGUGAACGCUGGCGGUAGGCCUAACACAUGCAAGUCGAACGGCAGCACGGUAAGAGCUUGCUCUUACGGGUGGCGAGUGGCGGACGGGGGAGGAAUACAUCGGAAUCUACUUUUUCGUGGGGGAGAACGUAGGGAAACUUACGCUAAUACCGCAUACGACCUACGUGUGAAAGCAGGGGAUCUUCGGACCUUGCGCGAUUGAAUGAGCCGAUGUCGGAUUAGCUAGUUGGCGGGGUAAAGGCCCACCAAGGCGACGAUCCGUAGCUGGUCUGAGAGGAUGAUCAGCCACACUGGAACUGAGACACGGUCCAGACUCCUACGGGAGGCAGCAGUGGGGAAUAUUGGACAAAGGGCGCAAGCCUGAUCCAGCCAUACCGCGUGGGUGAAGAAGGCCUUCGGGUUGUAAAGCCCUUUUGUUGGGAAAGAAAAGCAGCAGGUUAAUACCCCGCUGUUCUGACGGUACCCAAAGAAUAAGCACCGGCUAACUUCGUG
rnacentral:rRNA from 1 species